rnacentral:rRNA from 1 species
AGUGAACGCUGGCGGCAGGCCUAACACAUGCAAGUCGAACGGCAGCACAGUAAGAGCUUGCUCGUACGGGUGGCGAGGGGCGGAUGGGUGAGGAAUACAUCGGAAUCUACUUUUUCGUGGGGGAUAACGUAGGGAAACUUACGCUAAUACCGCAUACGACCUAAGGGGGAAAGCAGGGGAUCUUCGGACCUUGCGCGAUCGAAUGAGCCGAUGUCGGAUUAGCUAGGUGGCGGGGUAAAGGCCCACCAAGGCGACGAUCCGUAGCUGGGCUGAGAGGACGACCAGCCACACUGGAACUGAGACACGGUCCAGACUCCUACGGGAGGCAGCAGUGGGGAAUAUUGGACAAUGGGCGAAAGCCUGAUCCAGCCAUACCGCGUGGGUGAAGAAGGCCUUCGGGUUGUAAAGCCCUUUUGUUGGGAAAGAAAAGCAGCAGGUUAAUACCCCGCUGUUCUGACGGUACCCAAAGAAUAAGCACCGGCUAACUUCGUG